CAGGGAGACAACAAAAUGUUUAAUAUUAUUAUUUUGUCACCUUAGGUCGAUCGGUAUCUCACAUUCUUAAUUCAUUAAGAAUUUCAUUUCCUAAGUUUUUCUAGGUCACACCCAUUAUUUUCCUGGGCCAUUAGCCCAGGUGGUUAGAGCGCACCCCUGAUAAGGGUGAGGUCCCUGGUUCAAGUCCAGGAUGGCCCAUACAUAUCUCUAUGUUGGGGGUAUAGCUCAGUUGGUAGAGCGCCUGCUUUGCAAGCAGGAUGUCAGCGGUUCGAGUCCGCUUACCUCCACUGAUUACCACCUCUCCCAUAAAAAUGUAGAAAGGAAAUGUUAUGAGGUCUGAUCAAAUUCUGAACGAAUCUAGCUUCCUAAUCAAAUAAUUAAGAUGCUGGACUUAUUGAAUUAAAUUCAUUGUUUUCAGAGAACCUUGACAACUGCAUAGAUUAUUUUAAAGACAAUAAGCAUCUUUAUUGAUGCAGAUUUAUUAUUUGUGCGAAUGCAUUAAUAACAAUUCUAUUAAGCUGAUGCUUCAA
rnacentral:tRNA from 1 species